GCAGUCGAACGAUGAACCCGGAGCUUGCUCUGGGGGAUUAGUGGCGAACGGGUGAGUAACACGUGAGUAACCUGCCCUUGACUCUGGGAUAACCUCCGGAAACGGAAGCUAAUACCGGAUAUGACGCACGGAGGCAUCUCCUGUGCGUGGAAAGAACUUCGGUCAAGGAUGGACUCGCGGCCUAUCAGGUAGUUGGUGAGGUAACGGCUCACCAAGCCUACGACGGGUAGCCGGCCUGAGAGGGUGACCGGCCACACUGGGACUGAGACACGGCCCAGACUCCUACGGGAGGCAGCAGUGGGGAAUAUUGCACAAUGGGCGCAAGCCUGAUGCAGCAACGCCGCGUGAGGGAUGACGGCCUUCGGGUUGUAAACCUCUUUUAGUAGGGAAGAAGCGAAAGUGACGGUACCUGCAGAAAAAGCACCGGCUAACUACGUGCCAGCAGCCGCGGUAAUACGUAGGGUGCGAGCGUUGUCCGGAAUUAUUGGGCGUAAAGAGCUCGUAGGCGGUCUGUCGCGUCUGCUGUGAAAACCCGAGGCUCAACCUCGGGCCUGCAGUGGGUACGGGCAGACUAGAGUGCGGUAGGGGAGAAUGGAAUUCCUGGUGUAGCGGUGGAAUGCGCAGAUAUCAGGAGGAACACCGAUGGCGAA
rnacentral:rRNA from 1 species